UCAUUGUUGAGGAGUCCCAUAAUAGGACGAAACGGCUGUCCAGUGC
rnacentral:hammerhead_ribozyme from 1 species